rnacentral:rRNA from 2 species
AACAAGGAUUCCCUUAGUAACUGCGAGUGAAGAGGGAAAAGCUCAAAUUUAAAAUCUGACAGUGUUUUGCUGUCCGAGUUGUAACCUAGAGAAGUGUAACCUGUGCUGGACCAUGUACAAGUCUCCUGGAAUGGAGCAUCGCAGAGGGUGAGAAUCCCGUSUUUGACAUGGACYACCAGUGCAUUGUGGUUGUGCUCUCAACGAGUCGAGUUGUUUGGGAAUGCAGCUCUAAAUGGGUGGUAAAUUCCAUCUAAAGCUAAAUAUUGGCGAGAGACCGAUAGCGAACAAGUACCGUGAGGGAAAGAUGAAAAGAACUUUGGAAAGAGAGUUAAACAGUAUGUGAAAUUGUUGAAAGGGAAACGUUUGAAGUCAGUCAUGUUGGGUGGGGAUCAGCCUGGCAGAUUGUUGGGUGUACUUCCUGGUUGACGGGCCAACAUCAGUUUUGACUGCCAGAGAAAGGCGAAGGGAAUGUGGCACCUUUGGGUGUGUUAUAGCUCUUUGUCGUAUGUGGUGGUUGGGACUGAGGAAAGCAGUGCGCCGAAAGGCAGGGUUUCGACCACAUUCGCACUGAGGAUGUUGGCAUAAUGGCUUUAAGCGACCCGUCUUGAAACACGGACCAAGGAGUCUAACAUGCAUGCGAGUGUUUGGGUGGAAAACUCUUACGCGGAAUGAAAGUGAAAGUUGAGAACCCUGUCGUGGGGAGCAUCGACGCCCGGACCAGAACUUUUGGGACGGAUCUGCGGUAGAGCACGUAUGUUGGGACCCGAAAGAUGGUGAACUAUGCCUGAAUAGGGUGAAGCCAGAGGAAACUCUGGUGGAGGCUCGUAGCGAUUCUGACGUGCAAAUCGAUCGUCAAAUUUGGGUAUAGGGGCGAAAGACUAA